UUACCGAGUUUACAACUCCCAAACCCCUGUGAACAUACCACUUGUUGCCUCGGCGGAUCAGCCCGCUCCCGGUAAAACGGGACGGCCCGCCAGAGGACCCCUAAACUCUGUUUCUAUAUGUAACUUCUGAGUAAAACCAUAAAUAAAUCAAAACUUUCAACAACGGAUCUCUUGGUUCUGGCAUCGAUGAAGAACGCAGCAAAAUGCGAUAAGUAAUGUGAAUUGCAGAAUUCAGUGAAUCAUCGAAUCUUUGAACGCACAUUGCGCCCGCCAGUAUUCUGGCGGGCAUGCCUGUUCGAGCGUCAUUUCAACCCUCAAGCACAGCUUGGUGUUGGGACUCGCGUUAAUUCGCGUUCCCCAAAUUGAUUGGCGGUCACGUCGAGCUUCCAUAGCGUAGUAGUAAAACCCUCGUUACUGGUAAUCGUCGCGGCCACGCCGUUAAACCCCAACUUCUGAAUGUUGACCUCGGAUCAGGUAGGAAUACCCGCUGAACUUAA
rnacentral:rRNA from 1 species